rnacentral:tRNA from 1 species
GUGGCUGUAGCUCAAUGGCAGAGCGUCUGUUUGUGGAACAGAAGGUUGCGGGUUCGAUCCCCGUCAGUCACCCCA